GGGCCGUUAGCUCAGUUGGUAGAGCAGUGGACUCUUAAUCCAUUGGUCGAGUGUUCGAGCCACUCACGGCCCACCA
rnacentral:tRNA from 1 species